UCCCUGGAAGACUAGUGGUUAGGCCACAGCACUCUCACCUCUGUGGUCCGCAUUCGAUUCCUGGCCAGGGAA